ACUGGCUGUCGGUACAAAAUCUUAGCUCUUGUCGUUAACAAAUAAACAGCUGUUUGUAGAAUUACCCAACUGAAACAUUUUGCCUGAGAACAUUGGGACACCGCGCAGACACUCGUCCCGCAGACCCGUUGACCCACUGGACUCAAUGGUCGUUUUUCCCCUGCUUAUCUUUUGUCCAAUUCCAAAGGUUGUCUGUGUUGUGCCUAUCUGCUGUUGUUACAUUCAAGAGCAACAAUGUCACGUUGGGAGGAUAUGAAUAAGGAUGAGCUAGAGAGGCAGUUUUCGCCCAGCCAAUGGUCGCACAGAAUGUCGGCAGACGACGUUAUCAAAUCCCACGUGACGGCGCUCAAAGAAGGUACGGAGCGUGCCCGUGGCCUGGCCCAAACCCUCCUCAACGUUCCCUAUGGAGAAGGAGAGGGGGAGAAACUAGACGUCUAUGUUCCCACCACCACCUCUCUAGAUGUUCCACUGGUAAUCUACCUCCAUGGAGGCUACUGGCAGUUCCUUAGUAAGGAGGAGUCCGGGUUUAUGGCUGUCCCAUUGGUCCAUAAGGGCGUCGUGGUGGUCGCCGUGGGUUACGACAUCGCUCCCAAAGGGAACAUGGAUUUGAUGGUGUCUCAGGUGCGGAGGAGUGUGGUGUCCGUCAUUCAACAGUAUUCACACAUUAGUGGUCUGUACCUGUGUGGCCACUCUGCGGGGGCCCACCUGGCUGCUAUGAUCCUCUCUACAGACUGGUCUCAGUACAGUGUGACCCCUCAGAUCAAAGGUGCGUUCCUGGUCAGUGGUAUAUAUGACCUCCUGCCCAUCCUGUCCACCUAUGUCAAUGAGCCUCUGAAGAUGACAGAAGAGGUGGCUCUGAGGAACAGUCCUAGUCAGCUGGUUCCGCAGCUCAAACUCUCCUCCUCCAACUGUGACAUCGUGGUUGCCGUGGCGCAGAAAGACUCGCCAGAGUUCCGGAAGCAGUCGCAGGACUACUACAAAGUCAGGACAGACUGAACACAUAGAAGUAGAACACAGAAUCAGAGCUGAUGAAUAGAAUGUGUCUGAGUUCCAUGGAUGGAAAAACAGACAGUCUGAACACAUAGAAGUAGAACACAGAAUCAGAGCUGAUGAAUAGAAUGUGUCUGAGUUCCAUGGAUGGAAAAACAGACAGUCUGGGACACAUUAGAAUAUAUCUAGAUUGUUCUUGUAGAUUUCAGAAAGUGACAAAACAAUUCACCUUUAUAACACAGCUGCACCCUUAUAUUUUUGGAAGAGUUUUAGGGCCUAGAAAAUUACUAACUUUCUGUCCCUUUUUUCUCCCUCUUUGCUCUCCCUCUCUUCCCUUCCUCUCUCCCUCUUUGCUCUCCCUCUCUUCCCUUCCUCUCUCCCUCGUUGCUCUCCCUCUCUUCCCUUCCUCCUCUCCCUCCUCUCCUCCUUCCCUCUUACAGACGCUGGAGUCAACAGAAGGACUGAAGGUAACAUUGGAGGACGUUCCAAACACAGAUCACUUCAACAUCAUCGAGCAGCUAGUCGACGGAGACUACCACCUCACUCAGCUGCUGUUAAAGAUGAUGGGGAAGAGCUAAAGAGAUACAGGGACACCGGCCAAUCAAUGAAGAGAUACAGGGACACCAGCCAAUCAUUGAAGAGAUACAGGGACACUGGCCAAUCAUUCAUUUACAUAUCAACCACAAACACCUCUGUUCUGAACCACAUCUAGAGGCACCAAUCACCAGGUAUUAUGGACUGAUGGCUAUUGGCUAAACAAGGUGGUUAGGUAACAGGUAUUAUGUUUUGUGUUACAAAACCUCCGGGGUGAAGAUUCCCUUAGUUACAGUUCUUGGAUCAGUUUUUGAUUCCUCUUAACUUGAACUAUUAGUGGGAAAAAAUGCAAAACUGACCCAAGAUCAGCGUAUAGGGGCAUCUUCACCCUGCUCCGUUACAAAAGCUAUCGCCUGGAGUUCUUCCUGGUUCGAGUCAUGACCAGGAAAUACUCCAGGAAAUACUCCAGACCCUGCUUUAUGUCUUAUUGAUAGGUGGGCAUCAUUUUGGCUCAAAGGCCGCAUCGGGAUUUUCUCAAUUCCGAGGAUGGCCGCACAGAUUUUUUUCCCGGACCGAUUUGUUCGUCAAAAGCAAUUUGUGGGCCAGAAAAAGGGAAGUUAUCACUUUUAGGUCCAAUAUAAUCUCUACAUACUUUCUAAUUGUAAACGUUCAAGAGCCAUGUUCCCUCUAAGCUGCCACUUCCUCCAGGACUGCUGCGUAGAAGGUCUUUUGAGCCAUGUUCCCUCUAAGCUGCCACUUCCUCCAGGACUGCUGCGUAGAAGGUCUUUUGAGCCAUGUUCCCUCUAAGCUGCCACUUCCUCCAGGACUGCUGCGUAGAAGGUCUUUUGAGCCAUGUUCCCUCUAAGCUGCCACUUCCUCCAGGACUGCUGCGUAGAAGAUCCUUUGAGCCAUGUUCCCUCUAAGCUGCCACUUCCUCCAGGACUGCUGCGUAGAAGGUCUUUUGAGCCAUGUUCCCUCUAAGCUGCCACUUCCUCCAGGACUGCUGCGUAGAAGGUCUUUUGAGCCAUGUUCCCUCUAAGCUGCCACUUCCUCCAGGACUGCUGCGUAGAAGAUCCUUUGAGCCAUGUUCUCUCUAAGCUGCCACUUCCUCCAGGACUGCUGCGUAGAAGGUCUUUUGAGCCAUGUUCCCUCUAAGCUGCCACUUCCUCCAGGACUGCUGCGUAGAAGGUCUUUUGAGCCAUGUUCCCUCUAAGCUGCCACUUCCUCCAGGACUGCUGCGUAGAAGAUCCUUUGAGCCAUGUUCUCUCUAAGCUGCCACUUCCUCCAGGACUGCUGCGUAGAAGGUCUUUUGUUAGAGAGGCACAUGGUUUUGAUUGGUCUCUCCUGUGUUAGUCUCUUGUGGUCGGCUACCUCAGUAUAAUCCUCAGACUGGCUGAUAACCUCAUGAUGAUGCAUCCUACUCUCCUUACCUACACAGCUAACCUGUUGACAUAUUUUUAUUUAUUUAACUAGGCAAGUCAGUUAAGAACAAAUUCUUAUUUACAAUGAUGGCCUACUUGUAAAGCUCUUAGGAAUCUUUUAGGGAAAUGGUCAAACUGAUCCUGGACCAGCCAAAGUUUGACAACAUAUUAUGCGUCCCAAAUUGCAUCCUUAUAUAGUUCACUCGUUUUAACCAGGUCUAUUUCACUAGGUAGGGUAUAGGGUGCCAUUUGGGACUGAAGCAUAGCCUGCCAGGAUAAAGUAGCAACACUUGUUUCCAGAGCGAGCGAGAUAGCUAAUCAGUUAACCAAUCACUAUGCACAAAUUAAUAUUGUCUUCAUGGCAAUUUUCGCUUGUUUUAGUGGCACAGUGUAGUUGAUAACGUGCCGACAGUGGCACUUUUUUGUUUCUUUGUAUUGUUACAUCACUUCCUGUGUUUGUUUCUAAACCUCUCUGAACCAUAGAAAUAGUCCACCCAUUAUGAUGUCAUUGACUUGAAUAAGAAUGCCUGUUCUCUGAACCAUACUGACUGGGAAUCUUUCACCACUAUGUUGUUCACCUGUUAUUAUAACUUUAUUGACCUGCCAUUAGAACCAGGGUUCAAAUUAUACAUGGCCUCUUGGGGGUGCAUGAACAGUGAGGGUGUUCAAUCUGCCCCCCCCCCCCGUAAUUCAAACCUUGGUUAUUUUCUAAAGGACAUGAACAGAGUCUGGACUUCUCCAGAUUAAGUACAUGACAUGAAUUGCAAUCAGUAUGAAGAAAGGUGAAUGUUGGCAUUCAAUAGGGUACGUCUCGAAUGGUGAAAAGUAGUGCACUUUUUUAGGGAAAAGGUUGCCAUUUUGGACAUAUGUCAAUAUUUACUUAUAUAAUUGUCAGAUGUGUGUUACACAUGGAAUUCAUUGUAACAUGUACCCCAAAAUAACCGUUUGACACUUGAAUUUGUCAAUCUAGAACUAAGGAAUACUGUAUUUUGUUUAUUAUUCUACCCUAAUAUGAAAUUGUCAAUCUAGAUUUGCACACUAAAAUGUAAUAAUGGUUUUACGUGGGUCAUUAUGCUUCUUUGUCUAGUAGCCUAAAUGCUUGUUUCCAUGACUAGUAAUAAUGUUGGUGGGAGAAUUAUGUAAAAUAUCACAAUAAAUGUGUAUGUCAUAGAA